AAAGCAGAGCUUUGAAAAUGAGACAAAUAGAUGAAACAUUCACUAAAAAUGACUUAGUCACAACAAGUUUCCUGCUCCCCAGCAGAUUGUUUUGAGAAGCUGAUAUCUGUAAUACUUGAGGCAAAGCAGCUGUUUUCAGCUACUCUCUCCACAGUCACUGAUAAAAAUGUUAAAUAAAACUGGCCCCAGUAUUGAACGCUUUGGAACACCACCAGUGACCAGCUACCAACUGGACUGAACUCUGUUCACCUUGAGAGCAGCAAUCCAGACAGUAUUUCACACAGUAAACUUCACGUCUGUCCAAGCUAUGAGCAGCCAGUUUCUCCACAAGAAUGCUGUUGGUGUUACUUUACUAAAAUCCAGACUGUAUUUAAUUGUUGCUAUCCCCAUACCACCUUGACAAGAAACAGGAUCAGAGAUGUCCUAUAAACAAAAGUGAACUCCACUGAAUGCCACCCUCAGCAAGGAAACAGACUUGAAUAUGAAGAAAAUGCCUCCAAAACAGUACAGGAAAAUACAGCUAUGGAUGUCUUUAAAGUGAACUAGUCAGUACAUGUAAUAACUUUUGGCAAUAUAUGAAAAUAUGUUGUAACUCAAACUUGAUUUUCAAGGUGUUUCUUAUUUUUCCUUCCAAUACAUCAUAAGCUAUGGCCCUAUGCAGAGAAAAAAUCCCGACACUUUUGGAUAACACGUUCUAAAAGUCAGUGACUGUUUCUAUAAUCUUCCUGCAGCUUUUCCCUUUUUAGCCCUUGAGCCUAGGCC
ensembl:lncRNA